UCAUCAAUGGAGUAGUGGUAACCUGGGUCGUUGCCAUGAACGGCAUAUUGCAACAGGCGACUUUAUCGACCCGCCGAGGGUUCGAUUCCCUCUUGAUGUA